rnacentral:rRNA from 1 species
UAAACGACUCUCGGCAACGG